AGUCCGCUGGGUUCGGAGGAGCAGAGGCGGAAGGUCCCGGCGGCGGCGAGGAUGCGCCCCAGGGCGGGAGCGGGACGCUCCACUUUACCCUGGCUGCCCGCAACGGGCCAGGCCUGCCGUCUCUACCUCUCUACCUGUGAGUUUUUUCCCUGCAUUUACUUCAGUCUGCCGCGUCUUCUCCCCGCCCUUCUCUGUAAGGUAAAUAUGUGGAGGAAAUAAUUCCUAUUAAAGGUAAAGGAAAGGAGAGCAAUUUGAAUGAAGAAACAGGUAGUUGCUAUCGUCGUUUUCAGCCAAAGCCCUCUGGCUGCUAGAGAGUAUACAUGGUUCUCUGGUGUCAAGGCCUGUUUUCCAUAAGCUUUCUGGAUUCUCAGCUUAGUUCCCUCAAAGUGAUCUCUGCAAGUCGGCUCUUCGGUCAGAAGACCUCCUCCAAAAACAGAAAGCCCAAAGAUUCCCUAACUCGAUUGAAAAGAUAGGAAGAUACGAAGAAAAACUAACCUAAAGAAUUGUGUGGUUUAUCUGCAAAGAGUUCUAGACUAAAAGCCAACAAUGCAAAGAUAGUAUGAGUUAAUAUGUUUGUUGUGGCUCUCUUCUGCCAUUCCCGCUUCCUCAAGGUAAUGUGCCCCGAUGCCUGGUAGAACUGUUUUGUAGAGGCAGCCAAUAGUGAUCCAGUUAUUGUCUUUACUGGUCAGACCACCUCUGAAGUGCUGUGUUCAGCAUUUGAAGACUUUAAUCAAGCUGGCAUUAUAUCAGGGAAGAGCAAAAUGAUGACGAGAACUCAAAAACAGGGCAAGUGAAGAAGGAUUGAUUAAACCUUCCAGGACUCACCUAGAAGAGAGAAAACUACUGGACUCUCUCCAAAUAUGAAAUGACCUAUCAUGUGAAGUUGAUUUGUUUCAUGUGAUGCAAACUUCAGGGAACAGAUUUAAGAUCCUGAAAAGAAGAUGCCCUUGUAGCACGACCCAAAGAAUUGCCUACCUUAGCAUGUGUGAAUACCUCAACCACAGAAUUUUGCUUCAAGGAGAUUCUGAAGCUCACUUAAUAGGGACUUGGUACAGGGGAGCCACACAUCAACAGAAUAAUUAGUUGAUGGUUUUGUUAAAGAUAUUUCCAGUCUUGAGAUUACAUGUGUCUUUGGUCCUGGACUUCAUAGAGUUUACAAGUUAGUUCAUGAGACAAGACAAAUGCAUCACAAAAAUAAAUAAUGCAAGGAGGCCAAGUGAUAAUGAGAGGUGCUGAUAAGUGCUAGGAAUUCACAUGACAGAUUAUUCCCAUCACAGUUCCAGAGGCUUAAGGGAGAAGAGAGGAACUGAAAAUAGACUACCUAGAACUGCCCUAUCCAUUGGGGUAGCCACCAGUUAAAUACGUCUCUUGACAUUUGAAAUGUGGCUUGUCCAAACUGAGACAUGCAAUGAGUCCAAAAUGUACACCAGAUUUCAAAGACUUAGAAAACAAAUGUAAAAUAUUGUAAUUCUUAUGUCGAUUACAUGUUGAAAUAAUAUAUAAUGGAUCAAAUAAAAUAUGUUAAAAUUAAUUUCAACUUUAUUUUUACUUUUUAUGUGACUUCUAGAAAAUUUUUAAUUACAUAGGUGGCUUGCAUCAUAUUUGUAUUACAUAGUCCUGGCCUGGAAGGAAAUUCAGUUAGCCCUCUGUAUCCAUGGCUUCUGUAUAUGUGUCAACCAACUUUGGAACAAAAACAAUUGAAAAAAAAAAAAAAAAAGAAUGGUAAUGUCUGCAUUGAACACGCACAGACUCUUUUUUUCUUGUCAUUAUUUCCUUAACAAUAUGGAUGUAACAACUGUUUACAUAGCAUUUCCCAUUGUAUUAGGUAUUAUAAGUAACCUAGAGAUGGUUUAAGGUAUAUGGGACAAUGUGCAUAGUUUGUAUGCAAAUACUAUACCAUUGUGUGUAAGGACUUGAGCAUCCUGGGGUUUUGGUAUGUGGGAGUGUCCUGGAACCAAUCCCCUGUGGACACUGAGGGAUGGUCUUACUUCAUUGAACUCUAAGAGCUAUCUUUGUCCUCUUUAUAGUCCCCAGGGUUUCCCCAUUUUUUUUUUCAAGAGAUGGGGUCUUGCUGUAUUGCGCAAGCAGAAGUGCACUGGGUAUUCACAAGCAUGAUCAUUGUGCACAACAGCCGUGAACUCCUGGGCUCAAUGAUUCUUCUGCUUCAUCCUCUCAAGUAGCUAGGACUACAGGUACCUGCCAUCAAGCCCAGCUUCCCCAAAUGUUAGUGGAAAGACAACCUAAUGAAAAUGGCCCUGAUGACAAAGAGAAAGACCGUCCAGAAAGUAUGCCAUGAGCAAAGACAAGAAACAAGACUAUAACUGCAUUCUAGAUAAUGAAAACCUAUUUAUCUGUAAUGGAACAUUGUUAAUAGAAGGUAGUGACAAAGUUAAAAUGUAAACAAACUAGUCUAUAAGGAGACUCAAUUUUAAAUUUAAAGAAUUGAGUAUAAUAGGCAGUCAGUGUUUGGCAGUCACAAAAUGGGAUUGGGAGAUUACUUUGGCAAUAUUGGGUAGGGUGGGUUGAAAUUAGUGCAUGGCUGGGAAACCAAUUAAAACUCAUUGCAGUGGGCUAGGCGCAGUGGCUCACCCCUGUAAUCCCAGUACUUUGGGAAGCUGAGGCAGGAGGAUCACUUAAAGCCAGAAGUUCAAAAGCAGCCUGGGCAACAUAGGAAGACCCCCAUCUCUACAAAAAAUAGAAAAAAAAUAGUCAGACUUGAUGGUACAUACCUGUAGUCCUAGUUACCAAGGAGACUGAAUUUGGAGGCUCUCUUGAGGCCAGGAGUUUGAGGCUACAGUGAGCUAUGAUCAUGCCAUUCAGCUCCAGUCUGGGCAACAGAGCAAGACCCCAUCUCUAAUUGAAAAACAAAACAAAACUCCACAUUGCAUUUAAAAAUAUAUCAUAUGGCUGGGUGUGGUGGCUCACAGCUGUAAUCCCAGUACUUUGGGAGGCUGAAGCAGGUGAAUUGCUUGAGCCCAGGAGUUUGAGACCAGCCUGUGCAACAUGACAAAACCCUUUCUCUAAAAAAAAAAAAAAAAAAAAAAAAAAUGAAAAUUAGCUGGGUGUGGUGGCAUGCACCUAUAGUCCCAGCUGCUCAGGAGGCUAAGGCAGGAGGAUCACUUAAGCUGGGAGGUCAAGGCUACAGUGAGCCAUUAUCGCACCCUUGCACUCUAGCCUGGGUAACAGUGAAACACUGUCUUAAAAAAAAAAAGUAUCAUACCAAAAAAAGGCUCAAUAUUGGAUUUAUUUAAAUAAAUUGUAAUACAUCUCUAAAUAUAGAGGCAUUAAAAAAGUAUAAUGUGAAUCUGUAUUGCUUGAUAUGGUAAUAUGUCCAAAAUGUACAGUUGUAUGAAAGAGCUUGCAACACAAUCUAUACAUAAUAUGAACACAUUUAGGUAAAAUUAUAUAUGUUUGUGUGUGUCUUCUGUAUGUGUGUAACAUGAUUAUUUUGCAAAGAGUGCCUUAAAUUAUCUCAAAAUUGUCUCAAGAACAGAAAAUUUCAAGGUGGAAGUGUUUCCAACCUAUUUCUUACAGCUCAACAAAAUCAUUCAUGCUUUUGACUUUUUUCAUUUCUAUGUUUCAUUAUCCUUAGUAUGUUAGCCUUUCAUUAUCAGAUUUGCCACUUCAUGGUUUGUAAGGAUGGGUUGCCAAGUUUCAGAACCAUUUCCAGCCCAUCAGUCUCUGGAUACCUCCUUCAGUAUGUGUGUGCACUAGGUCUGCCUAGCUCACCAGUGUGCCAUAGCCUCAGCUUCUAGGCCUUUCUUAUUUUAUCUAUUGUCAGUCACUUCUUCCCUGCCCUUUUUCACCCCUGCCUUAUCCUGCAACACCGAGUCUUAAAAUUCCAUCUUUACUGCACUCCAGUGCAGUUCCUGCUCUGAAGUUGAUGCUUAACCUUUGAGGAAUGCUGAUUAAUAAAAGACUCAAUUCUAAAAUGUUUUUCUACUCUUUUAAAUAAAUGAUAUUAGAAAAGAAAAAAGUUAGAUUACUACCAUGGCAGACAGUGUUGUUUGCCUCCUCAACCACCAUUUCUUUCCUCUUUCUUAACUAGUAAGAUGAUUUUUUAAAAGUACCAAACAACUCAAAAAAUGUGAGCUUCUCCCAAAGUAAUUUCAUUUCCCUUUGAAUAAGAAUGUUGUAUAGGUGGGCAUAUGGGCCAAGGGACAAUCAGCUUCGGAGAAUCCUGCAAUAUGUUUUACCCAGGUUUCAAAAUAUGUGCUUACAAUAUAUAAAGGGUUUUUCUUGAAUUACUGUUCAAUAUGGUGAACUCGGCAUAUCAUUUGCCUACUAUCCUUUCCUACACACCAUAGAAAUAAAAAUGAAGAAACAGAAAAAAUGAAGAAUAAGUGAAGGAGUAAAGAUGAUGUGUGCCUGUAUGCAUGCACUUACAUGAGUAGAAAAAAGUAGAUGAUGUCAAGAGAAGCAAAUGAAAUUUCAAAAAUGUGUUGGGAUACAAAGCAAAUAGUAGUGAUUUGACCAAAACCAUAGCCUAAAAAAUAUAGUGGAGAAGCUACACAGGAUAGGGCAGAAGUGAGAAUAAGGGCUGAAAAUGGGGAUAAAAUAUGGCACAAUUGAAUCUAUCACCAUACACAUUUCGCUUUCUCAGACAUAUAGACUGAGAGCAAGCAAAAGAUAUUAAUAUCUGCCACCAGACAAAAAGACCAAAACUGACCCCCCAAAUCUUCUCCAAAUUAAUUGAAUAACUAGUACAGAAAAGUGAAGACUUUUAGGUUGAUGACACAAAGGAAAAACAUUCUUAUUCAAGCAUUCAGGGCCAGCAUCCUGAGAAUAAGCUAAUUGCCUACUCAUGUAAAGUGAAACUUCAUAUUUGGCAUUCCUGGCCCUGUCCUACCUAACCCAGCCACGUAUUCACAAUUCCUACAUAGGAGAGAGA
rnacentral:lncRNA from 1 species